rnacentral:rRNA from 1 species
AGACGUCAAUCAUCAUGCCCCUUAUGUCCUGGGCCACACACGUACUACAAUGGUGGUCAACAGAGGGAAGCAAUACUGUGAAGUGGAGCAAACCCCUAAAAGCCAUCCCAGUUCGGAUCGCAGGCUGCAACCCGCCUGCGUGAAGUUGGAAUCGCUAGUAAUCGCGGAUCAGCAUGCCGCGGUGAAUACGUUCCCGGGCCUUGUACACACCGCCCGUCACACCAUGAGAGUCGGGAACACCCGAAGUCCGUAGUCUAACCGCAAGGGGGACGCGGCCGAAGGUGGGUUCGAUAAUUGGGGUGAAGUCGUAACAGGGUAACCGUG